UUAAAUUGAAGAGUUUGAUCAUGGCUCAGAUUGAACGCUGGCGGCAGGCCUAACACAUGCAAGUCGAGCGGAAACGACACUAACAAUCCUUCGGGUGCGUUAAUGGGC
rnacentral:rRNA from 1 species